AAAACAAAAACAAUCAAACAUAACCUGGCAGUGAGAGAAUACGUCCUAACAGAAAGCAACUCUGCUAGUGAAUCUGGAAUUCACUGUCAUGGACCUCAUGCCCCAGGACAUUCAUGACUUGGGGGAAUAGCUGUGUGACCCUGGGCAAGUUACUUAAAUUCCUUGUGUCUCAGUUUCUUAUCCAUAAAAACGUGGAUAAUAACAAUAACUACUUCUGAUAAUUAUUGUAAACAUUAAUUAAUAUAGUCGGUAAAUCUACUUAACGUGGUGACUGACACAAAACAAGAACUCAAUAAAUGCUCAUUGGAAGUAAUAGGAGUAUAAUGGGUACAAAAAAUAGAAUGAAUAAGAUCUACUAUUUGAUAGCACAACAGGGUGACUAUAGUUAAUAAUAGCUUAAUUGUAUAUUUUAAAAUUACUUAAAGAGUGUAACUGCAUUAUUUGUAACUCAAAGGAUAAAUGCUUGAGGGCAUGGAUGCUCCAUUCUCCAUGAUGUG
rnacentral:lncRNA from 1 species